AGGAACAUGUGUUUUAUUCGAUGAUACGCGAGGAACCUUACCCGGGGUUGAACGCAUUUUGACAGACGAUGAAAGUCGUUUUCUAGCAAUAGCAAUAUGCGAGGUGCUGCAUGGUUGUCGUCAGCUCGUGCCGUGAGGUGUCGGCUUAAGUGCCAUAACGAGCGCAACCCUUACCGUUAGUUACCAUCAAGUAAAGUUGGGGACUCUAACGGGACUGCCAGCGUAAGCUGUGAGGAAGGUGGGGAUGACGUCAAAUCAGCACGGCCCUUACAUCGGGGCGACACACGUGUUACAAUGGGUAGGACAGAGGGCAGCUACUGGGUGACCAGAUGCUAAUCCCUUAAACCUACUCUCAGUUCGGAUCGGAGUCUGCAACUCGACUCCGUGAAGCUGGAUUCGCUAGUAAUCGCGCAUCAGCCAUGGCGCGGUGAAUACGUUCCCGGGCCUUGUACACACCGCCCGUCAAGCCAUGGGAGUUGGGGGUACCUGAAGUCCGUAACCGUCAAGGAUCGGCCUAGGGUAAAACCGAUGACUGGGGCUAAGUCGUAACAAGGUAACC
rnacentral:rRNA from 1 species